rnacentral:ncRNA from 1 species
UAUCGUGAAGUGGAAGCUGAAGGAAGCCGGAUGAGGGGAACCUACUAACCCACGGGCAAACUGCUGGUCUGACGAAUAGAAACCGCAUAGAAGGCGGUGCAUGAGGGAAAGCCUGCAUAACAAGAUGAAGCCCGAUAGCUACACAGAUCAUGUGCAGUAAAUGCGGCAGAUGGAUGGAGGAAAAGAAA